AGGUCCAGCCUGCCCUGUGACUAUAUGUUUAACGGCCGCGGUAUUUUAACCGUGCGAAGGUAGCGCAAUCACUUGUCUUUUAAAUGAAGACCUGUAUGAAUGGCACAACGAGGGCUUAACUGUCUCCUUUUUCAAGUCAAUGAAAUUGAUCUCCCCGUGCAGAAGCGGGUAUGAAUACAUAAGACGAGAAGACCCUAUGGAGCUUUAGACACCAAGGCAUUUCAUGUUAAACACCACUUAAUAAAGUACUAAACCAAAUGAACCGUGCCCCUAUGUCUUUGGUUGGGGCGACCGCGGGGAAACAAAAAACCCCCACGUGGAAUGGGAGCACUGCCUCCUACAACCAAGAGCUGCAGCUCUAGAGAACAGAAAUUCUGACCAUCAGAUCCGGCAAUGCCGAUCAACGGACCGAGUUACCCUAGGGAUAACAGCGCAAUCCCCUUUUAGAGCCCAUAUCGACAAGGGGGUUUACGACCUCGAUGUUGGAUCAGGACAUCCUAAUGGUGCAGCCGCUAUUAAGGGUUCGUUUGUUCAACGAUUAAAGUCCUACGUGAUCUGAGUUCAGACCGGA
rnacentral:rRNA from 1 species